UUCUCUCCCUUCAAUCCAACAUCGUCGGUAUAAGCUGAGACAUUAGGCCUUGGCUCGAAGUCUUUCACAAAAGAUUUCUCCUCGUUUGGUUUAGCAUCAUUAUUGUAGGACGAGACAUUAGGCCUUGGCUCAAAGUCUUUUACGAAAGAUUUUCCUUGUUUUUGUUCAUCAUCACCGGUGUAGGCAGAGACAUUAGGCCUUGGCUCAAAGUCUUUUACGAAAGAUUUUCCUUGUUUCUGUUCAUCAUCACCGGUGUAGGCAGAGACAUUAGGCCUUGGCUCAAAGUCUUUUGUAAAAGAUUUCCCAUUUUUUAGCUUAUCAUCGCGAUAGGCCGUGGCACUAGGUCUUGGCUCAAAUUUUGUUGCAAAAGAUCUUUUAUUUUUUAGUUUAUCAUCAAGAUAGGCUGUGACACUUGGUCUUGGUUCAAAUUCUUUCGUGAAAGAUCUCUCAUUUUUGAGCUUAUCAUCAUGAUAGGCCGUGGCACUAGGUCUUGGUUCAAAAUCUUGAACAAUAUAUCCAUUCGUUUUUAGCUUAUCAUCACGAUAGGCUGUGGCACUAGGUCUAGGUUCAAAGUCUUGAACGAAGG
rnacentral:lncRNA from 1 species